UACGAAGGGUGCAAGCGUUACUCGGAAUUACUGGGCGUAAAGCAUACAUAGGUGAUUCGUUAAGUCUAAUGUGAAAGCCCUGGGCUCAACCUGGGAAUUGCAUUGGAUACUGGCGGGCUAGAGUGCGGUAGAGGAUGGCGGAAUUCCCGGUGUAGCAGUGAAAUGCGUAGAGAUCGGGAGGAACAUCUGUGGCGAAGGCGGCCAUCUGGACCAGCACUGACACAGAGGCACGAAAGCGUGGGGAGCAAACAGG
rnacentral:rRNA from 1 species